rnacentral:lncRNA from 1 species
CCACCCAGUUCGAGCUUCCUGGCUGCUUUGUUUACCUAAUCAAGCCUGGGCAAUGGCGGGCGCCCCUCCCCCAGCCUCGCUGCCGCCUUGCAGUUUGAUCUCAGACUGCUGUGCUAGCAAUCAGCGAGACUCCGUGGGCGUAGGACCCUCCGAGCCAGGUGCGGGAUAUAUUCUCGUGGUGCGCCGUUUUUUAAGCCCGUCGGAAAGGCGCAGUAUUUGGGUAGGAGUGACCCGAUUUUCCAGUGAGAUGAACCCGGUACCUCAGCUGGAAAUGCAGAAAUCACCCGUCUUCUGCGUCGCUCACGCUGGGAGCUGUAGACUGGAGCUGUAGACAGGAGCUGUUCCUAUUCGGGCAUCUUGGCUCCUCCUUGAAAACAAGCCCUGGAAAAACAAAGAAUGGAACACCCCUCCGCUGACUUCAACCAACUGCCUGCUGAUGCGGCCUGACUCCCAGCCCUUUUUGCAGUUUUGAAGUGACAAACUGACUAGGCUACAAAGUAUUCAACCAUGGGCUGGUUCUGGCUGGUUCACCGAGGCUGUGUACAAAGUGUCUUCAUGUCCUGUGUUUCACCUUUUAACAUACAGAACCUAAUUUUACUGCAUUUUAAUGUUAAUUCUCCACUCGAAGGUGAACAUGGGAUGUAUGUAACACAUAUGUUUGCUUAUCAAGCACACAUAUGACCCCCUUUCAUGAAUAUUCAUAGUUCCCCCUGUGACCUGUUGAAUAUGUCUGUUUAGCCAACCUGUUUGGCAUAAAACUCCUAUCCCACCCUAUCUCCCUCAAAGUACCUGUUUGUGGUCUCAGCUGGAGGUGCCACUUCCCAGCCUGCAGUUUGCAACCCUUCUCAAGAAAUAAAGUCUUCCUUUCCAAGUU